AUUUAUUUUUAAUAUUAAAUCUCUUCACUCUCUAUUUGACAUUUUUAUCAUAAAACCUACUAAGUCAAAACUAAUGCACAUUUUUUUUCUAAUGCAUUUUUUUUCUAUUCUACUGUAUAAAAUAAGUUUAGAUAAUAAAGGUUUUAUUAUAUUAUAAUGAGAAAUAACAAAGAUCUCAAAAAGUCUAAUAUAAUAUCCAUAAUAGAAUACCACUCACUAUUCUAACCUCAAGAUAUUAAUAAAGUGUCACUUAAAUACUUCUCCUUUCUCUCAAAUCAAACAUUACCUUAGUUGUAACUAAUUAUUAUUUUUAUAUAAUAAAUAAUAAUUAAUAAUUUAAAAAGUAAUAUAAUCAAUAGAAUUAAUUACUUGACUUUACUACUGUAUAUUAUUUAUGGAAGGAUGAAUAAAAUCAGGUCGUUGAUAAAUAAAGUAUAUAUAUGAGACAAACAAAUAUAGAUAUCCAAUAAUUAAUCUAAUUAUUUCUAUGAAUACCCGAUUAUUAUUCGGAUCACAAAUAAACUUAAUGUUAUAUUUUUAUGCAUCUUUAUAUUUUUAUGCGUAUACUUUUCUACUAUCCCAAUUUUAAUAUUUACAAAAAUUUAAAAGAGAAAGCGGAGUACAAGUUAGGUGUUUUCAUGGAAACCCUAAAAUUGGAGAGUAUAUUUGGGUUGUGAGUUAAGUUGAAGCUUUUUAAACGCUAGCGGUAUUUUUGGUUAGGUUCUUAAAAUUAAAUUUGGGUGAGGUUCAGUUUAAUGUUUGAAUUGAAAGGUAAUAUUGCUUAGGUUGUCUGUGUUUGGUUGGAUCUAUCACAGUCGGCAUAUUGAGUAUCAAUUGGUAAAUUUUUUUUAAUAUUAAAUCUCUCACUCUCUAUUUGACAUUUUAUCAUAAAACCUACUAAGUCAAAACUAAUGCCAUUUUUUUUUCUAAUGCACUUUUUUUCUAUUCUACUGUAUAAAAUAAGUUUAGAUAAUAAUUUUAAUUAUAUUAUAUGAGAAAUAACAAAGAUCUCAAAAGGUCUAAUAUAAUAUCCAUAAUAGAAUACCACUCACUAUUCUAACAUCAAGAUAUUAAUAAAGUGCCACUUAAAUACUUC
rnacentral:lncRNA from 1 species